GUAUUCCCAGUAGGUCUCCCAUCCAAGUACUAACCAGGCCUGACCCUGCUUAGCUUCUGAGAUCAGACAAGAUUUGGUGCAUUCAGGGUGGUAUGGCC
rnacentral:rRNA from 1 species